UAGCUGUAAUGGCUCAACGGAAAGAAACGGCUUCAAUCUUUCCUACCACCCCUGCUGUUGGCAACAACCCAACCAUCGGUGCCCGGUUCGAAUCUCGUGGUGGCCACCCACUCGCACAGGUAACUUGCGAUUUGCUGCGCGUGGCCUUGAGACUGCUUGGACACCGCUUCAGCCGAGCAAUCGGGCAGAGCGACUGAGCCCAUGGGAUGGCGAGUCCGGACUACAUUGAUGUUGUUGGUGGGGUGUUGGGAUGGAGUUAUGGUGUUGUGACUUUCUUUU
rnacentral:SRP_RNA from 1 species